rnacentral:tRNA from 2 species
CGGAGCGUAGCUUAGCCAGGUAAAGCGCAUGGCUGGGGGUCAUGAGAUCGGCGGUUCAAAUCCGUCCGCUCCGACCA